UAAAGUGCACGAUUUAAUCCCGAGAGUGGAGAUUAUUGCCCGAGCGUUAGCGAGGGCAAUAACCACUUGAGGGAUUAGAUCGCACUUUAGUCCUGUGGUAUAUACGCAAUUUUUUGCCCUCCCGGAUAAUGUAACUAAAAACUUAGGUAGAUUCCAACAAUUCAAUUCAACGGAACCUAAAGGAAUUGACCUUUUAAAAAAAGCAUUAGUAAGCUUGGUUAGGUAACCAAGGAAGCAAGAAACAUGACUGAGAAUGAAUGUAAGGAACCUCUUGGCAUAAAGAUGGCAGCUGCACGAGCGGUCGAGAGCCUUUUACCCACGAAAGUCGAAAAAUUUAUAUAACAAGCGGUACGAAGAAUUUAAAAAAUGGUGUGCAAGUAAAACUGUACAAGAAUACACUGAAAAUUAAACGUACUCGCUAAUUUUGAAGAGAAACAGCAAGGGUUUUCUCACCUUCUUCGCUGUGGUCCUUGUACUCAAUGCUCAAGGCCACAAUAUUGAUCAAGAAAAACAUCGACAUUAGUAGGUUUCCAAAACUAAUUGCGUUUAUCAAACGUCAAAAUGACGGAUAUAAACCGAAGAAAUCCAAAUUGCUUACGAGAGAAGAAAUGGACAGGUUUUUAAAAGAGGCUCCAAAUGAUAAAUAUCUAUUGUCCAAGACAGAAGUAAUCUUAACAUUGUGGAAUUGUGCAGAAAAUAUAUGUCACUUAGGAAGCCGAACACGAAUCAUGACCGAUUCUUUGUUUAUUAUAAAGAUAAUGAGUGCACUGUCCAACCGAUUGGAAAAAAUACGAGUACGUUUAAUGCAAAUAGUAGCACCAGCACAAAAGUUGCCAUUAAAGAAGAGGAAAUGGUGAACAUGUUGCUCCAAUUAUUAAUCUACAUAAUUGUGAAAAUUAUGUUAUAAACGUUAAUAUAACUAAAUAAAUAUUGACAAGACUUGUCAAAUUCGCUUCAUUUUUUGGUUGUUAUGGGAACACUUUUUAUCCCUUGGGAUUAAAAGAUCAACUUUAGUCCCUAUUCCCAGAGACUAAAGUAGCAAGUUUAAUC